GGCUGCUUCUGACAGAAAGAUCAGACAUCAUUCCUCUUUUCUUACCAAGGUAAUCAGAGACUGCUCCCUGUUGUGAGAAGAUGAAGAUGAGGAAGAAGAGGAAUGCUCUCGAGGAUAAAUGCAGAGUGGUAGGUUACCUUCGGUCCUUCAUUGAAAAUGCAUCUUGUGC